rnacentral:lncRNA from 1 species
GAGCAAUGAAGCUAGCUUUAAAAAUUUACUAUGUCAUGUAGUUUGUACUCUAAAAUGUCCUGUACUUCUAGGAGUUGAUCUUUGCUGUCAACAUUGAGACGCAGUCGAAAGUUAGAUUUUUUUUUUUCUCUCAGUGAAAGCAGAAAGCUAAAAUGGCUUCUUUUAUGUGCUUAGGGUGAAAAAUAAAAUAAAAUAAACACACCUUACUUCCUAGCAAAGCAUCAUGCAAUAGAGAAAUGUUAGAUUUGCAGGAGGUUUUCACCAGAUAGCUACUUCCCUCCGAAUUGAUAUAUUAUAGGUCUUUGUCUUUUGAUAUGCUAACGAUGGCCAUGAUUGCAGGGUUGGAUUAUAAUUCGUGACAUAGUUCCUUUAAUAGAGUCAGCCAGAGCUCUAACAACAAGGCUAAAAUGGGAUGCGCGAGUUGUAGAAAUAGAAAGUGACAGCGAUCAAAGACUCCUGAUCUGUCAAAAACCUUUAUUUAAGAGACAAGCAAAUUAAUUCAUUCAUGCCCUGAAGAAAUUAGACCAUAAUAUUCAUAUAUUCAUUUUCAUAAUGUUCAUUUAUUAUCAUAAUGCUCCGCCAUAGAAAGUGGGGAUUGAAAAUUUUGGACAGAAAAAAGAAAGCCGGAACAAAAACAAUAGAGGAAAGAGUGAAUUCUCGUCAAUGAUACCACCACAACUCCUAUGUAGCCGUAAGGCAUAUACAUAGGGCCUUGCAACUAUCAAACGAGGAGCAGAGCAGAACAGAGGAAGAAGUAUACUGGUAGAUUUCAUUUUUCAUGUGAUGUCUGAUUGCAGUUACACAGACACAUGAGGAUUAAGAUUGGGAAAGAUGGUGAUAGAAUAAGUUAUAUAUUUAUGUUUUGUUUGCUGUAGUGUAUAAAAUGCUCAGCGGUUAAUGCCGCCCCCCCCCCCCCCAUAUUCGUAUAGAAGAAUUAUUUUUCUGCUCUCAUUGAUUUCAUGGGUUCUUUAAUAUCUCCUGUAAUGUAACGGCCCGGCAAAACUAUAUUUUGAUAAAUCUUGUCAAUGUUUAUAACGUGAAAUCAAAAGUCACAUUCUCCAUCAGCCAGUGUAAAAUUACCUGACCUCUGGUUGGAUGUACUGACACUGAUUAAUUGGAAUAAACAAACGUAACGCAGAAAUCUAGCGGUUUGAAUUAGCUGGUUGUGUGUUCCGAGUGCACAAUAAUAUAAUUGAUACCUGCAGUCAUCUUUCCCUACUUUGAGAAUUUAGCUUUUCUUUUCACCUAAAAAUCUUUAAAACUGUGUGAGAAGCAAGGAACUGUUUACGAUUAGAAUUUGUUAAGGACUACUGUAAUUCUCAUGAUUUAGUUGUGUUUAAAGCAGUUUACAAUCAAAAGAGUUUUUUUUUAUUUGGAAUAAAAAAUAUUUGUUUUCUCCAAAAUAAUGAGAUCCAAACAAGUUAAACUAGUCUGAGGAGACGAUUACAACAUAUGAUGUGGGCUUACCCUUUUUCUGGCUUUGCCGAAUUCUCAAGUUAAUUUCAAGAAAUUUUCCAUUUGACUUCAAAAAUUUAGUCUAUUGAAUUAAAGACUAAAAAAGAUAUAGAAGCAAAUUUUCCAUUGUCACUUUGACACAUUAAAUAAGUUAGUCAUUACUUGAAUUAAACACUAACGGCAAAUUUGUUGUGAAUUAUGCUAAAUACAAAAGCGUGCUUGGAAGAAGGUGUGACUUCCUCUUGACAAAGUGCAUGUCUCGUUAUGUUUUUUAAAUGCCUGUCUUUGUGUCUUUUUUACAUCAAAAAGAUAUAGAAGCAAAUAUUAUAUAACUAAUGUUGAUCUUCUACAACUUAAAAUCAAACAAAUUGAAGCUUGUUCGAGAUAUAUAUGAACGUAUUUACAAUAAAAAUUAAUUGGAGUACUGAUAGUUGAUUACAAUUUCAAAUAUAUAGGUUUUAGCAUAAUUGCUUAUUGUUUUUACCAUGUUCCACCUCGUCCGAUCUUAAGUUAGUAAGUAAAUAAUAAAGUUCUAGUAAAGUUAGAAUACAGACACACCUGUAGUGUACCCGUGAAUUUAUAAUGUUAGAAUAUGUCAGUUUGUGUAUUUUGGAAUAGGAAAUUACCUAAUUGUGAGUUAAUGUGAUAGGUUGUUGAAUGAUUAUCAUCCACUAAUAUCUCAAAUAACUGAGUUGUAGGCUUGACCAGCACUGCUAAUUCAACUAAAACAUAAUGAUGGUAGAGUUACAUAGUUGUCAGACAAGUGGAUGCUAUCACUUGUAAACACUUUGACAUUCAAGUUAUGCAAUCAAACAGAGAAAUUAAAAACUAAAAGAGCGUACCUUUAGAAGAAAAAAAAUCCCUUAUUGAAAAAGUGGUUAACCAAUUAUGAAAUGUGUCUUUUAUCUCACUUGAAGGGAUAUGAUUCUUAUUAAUUUUCAGACUUAAAAUGUUAAGAUAUCUUCAGAAUGCUUGUUAUUUAAAAAUUUUAUUUAAGAAUAAAAAAAUAUAUACGUUUUAGUUGCUAAGGUAAAUUAAAAACUUGAAAAAAAAUGAAAAUAUAGAUAAACAUGACACAUAAAAAAGUGUUUAUAAAUAUUAUUUUGUGCAACCAUGUAAUAUAUCCGACCUUAGCUCAGUUGGUAGAGCGGAGGACUGUAGUUGGUAACACCAGGUAUCCUUAGGUCGCUGGUUCGAAUCCGGCAGGUCGGAGGUUUUUUUUUUCUCAACUUUUUUUUUCCCAAAUCACAUAUGCUGUU